rnacentral:rRNA from 1 species
UACGAAGGGGACUAGCGUUGUUCGGAAUCACUGGGCGUAAAGCGCACGUAGGCGGAUGUGUCAGUCAGGGGUGAAAUCCCGGGGCUCAACCUCGGAACUGCCUUUGAUACAGCACGUCUCGAGUCCGGGAGAGGUGGGUGGAAUUCCUAGUGUAGAGGUGAAAUUCGUAGAUAUUAGGAAGAACACCGGUGGCGAAGGCGGCCCACUGGUCCGGUACUGACGCUGAGGUGCGAAAGCGUGGGGAGCAAACAGG